AGCUUCAGAAAAUCAGAAAAAAGAAGAAAGAAAGAAAGGGAGAAGGGAAACAGGGAGAGCAGAGGAGGGCGGAGAAGACGACCGCACCGGCGCGUUGGGCCUCACCGCCGCCGUCGCGUCGUUGUCGGACCGUGGCGAGGGGGCGUUUACGGAGGGAGCCAUGAGAGAGAGACAAGUGCGAGUCAGGACUGCGAGGGAGAAGCCACCGCGUGCUAUCAUCUUCAGAUCCGCCGUCGAGCAGAAGCCGUUCGCCACUGCUGGACCUCCGUCACCAGCGAUUCGCUGCCGUUGAAGCCCAUCACUGCUGCUGUGACACCGCCACGGAGAGAGGGAGUGACGUGAUUAAAGAGAGGAGGAGGAAGGAGACCGGCGUGCCGUCGGAGCCAAUGUCGCCCAAUCGCCGCCAUUCCCCCCUUGCCGUCGCCGUUCAGGCCACUGCCAAGUCACCGUCGAUGAAGCUUCAGCCACCGCCACGCCUAGCUGUCGCUAGGGUUGCCUCCGCCGCGUCUCACCACUAAAGAGAAGCCUUGCCUACGCUGUUGCCGAACCGGGCCAGAUUCACCGAUUAAUGCUACCGCCGCCACUGGCUUGUCAUUUCUGCUUGGCUGUGCCCUUAUUCGUCGUUCUAAUUGUUGAAAGGAAAUGUUGUCGAAGCUAUAGUUUCUCCGUUCCCCAUUCUCUUGUUUCUUUUCUGGUAAGACAAAUUCUAUUGUACUUUAUCUUGCCAUAAUGCUCCAUUUCGAUUCUAUUUUAUUA